rnacentral:rRNA from 1 species
UGGGGAAUAUUGGACAAUGGGCGAAAGCCUGAUCCAGCCAUGCCGCGUGGGUGAAGAAGGCCCUAGGGUUGUAAACCCCUUUCAGCGGGGAAGAUAAUGACGGUACCCGCAGAAGAAGCCCCGGCUAACUCCGUGCCAGCAGCCGCGGUAAUACGGAGGGGGCUAGCGUUGUUCGGAAUUACUGGGCGUAAAGCGCGCGUAGGCGGACCUGCAAGUCGGGGGUGAAAGCCCGAGGCUCAACCUCGGAACUGCCUUCGAUACAGCGGGUCUCGAGUCCGGGAGAGGUGAGUGGAAGUCCUAGUGUAGAGGUGAAAUUCGUAGAUAUUAGGAAGAACACCAGUGGCGAAGGCGGCUCACUGGCCCGGUACUGACGCUGAGGCGCGAAAGCGUGGGGAGCAAACAGG